UGAAUUAUAGUUUAUAAACAUUUCUUUUACAAAGAAAAAUUAAAUUAUAAAAAUUUUAAUCAU
rnacentral:tRNA from 1 species